rnacentral:rRNA from 1 species
UACGAAGGGGGCUAGCGUUGCUCGGAAUUACUGGGCGUAAAGGGUGCGUAGGCGGGCUUUUAAGUCAGAGGUGAAAGCCUGGAGCUCAACUCCAGAACUGCCUUUGAUACUGAGGAUCUCGAGUUCGGGAGAGGUGAGUGGAACUGCGAGUGUAGAGGUGAAAUUCGUAGAUAUUCGGAAGAACACCAGUGGCGAAGGCGGCUCACUGGCCCGAUACUGACGCUGAGGCACGAAAGCGUGGGGAGCAAACAGG